UACAGGGGGCUCGAGCGUUAGUCGGAAUCACUGGGCUUAAAGGGUGCGUAGGCGGCCCGCCAAGUGCUUUGUGAAAUCCCCGAGCUCAACUCGGGAACAGCAGGGCAAACUGGCGGGCUUGAAGCAGGUAGGGGCUGGAAGAACAGUUGGUGGAGCGGUGAAAUGCGUAGAUAUCAACUGGAAUGCCGAUGGGGAAGCCGUCCAGCUGGGCCUGUAUUGACGCUGAGGCACGAAAGCGUGGGGAGCAAACAGG
rnacentral:rRNA from 1 species